CGUUGACGAGAUAGGACCGCGGUCUCACCUGCUGCAAGCAUACACCUCUCCUCCAUCGGCCCGUCCUAUCACCCGGGAGUGGUUUCAUCCCGAUGGGCUGGCCGAUGUCCAGCUCCGGCAGAUCCCUCGCAGACCUGUCGUUGGGCUCUACCGGAGAGGGCGAGACUUCGCCACUCUAUUGACAUACCUGUCGAGAAGAAAGCAAGCAACUUCAGCGUCCCUUUGAAAAUCAUCAUCCCUCAUUACCUCUUUAAACCUGGGAGAAGCUACCCCGCUGUUUUUGGCAACACGGAUUCCUUCCUGUGCCUUCAUGCAUUAUGAACGAAAGUGCAGUGCAGGCUUUCGGGGAAGUGACAAGCAUGUCUCGCUGAGCUCCUUCUACGUUUCAAUCACGCUGGCUCUGAUUGAAAACGCAUUUAGCCUGCUAGUAUCACGUAGUGCUUUAUGUCCCACUCGGCCCUUAUAUUCCGGAAGGACAUGCCUCCUUAGGACUUACCCUUUACAAGUAAAUAAUAUAGGCUAAUGUAAGAAAUAAGAAAUUCUUCUUUCAGGAGGAUAAGUCUGAUUAUUGGCAGAGGUGAUUUUACCCCAAUGAGGACAUAUUUGUAAAUUAACGCAUAGAUUUUUUUUAGCAAAUAUAUUACUUAAAACACUACACAGUGUCCCUUUAAUGGCCCUCUGGCCUGUUUUACAUAAACUAAACAGCGUUCUCUGUGGGAGUGACUCAAGGCUGUCAUUGGAUAUGGGUCUCAUGCUUGGUUGGCAUAUCUGUGGUCCCCUGCAUUGGUUUUUGCAUUGACAGUGGCUUCUCAUUGCAACCAAAGGAACACAUUUUAAAAUUCCCACUUAUUACUGUUUUAUUAGCCUGUCAACUGAUUGAUAAUGUGAACAGAAUUUGAGAAGGUAAUUUGGUUAUCUUAUUGUUUAAUCCUCAGUAUUUUCAUUUACACAAAAGAGGUAUGUAUUAAUAAUUUUUGGUUUACGACCAGGGCAAUGUGCAGUGGGAUGUUAAUGUACUGCCUGAUGUAUACACUGGUAUUCACAAGCUAUGGCAUGGUAAUACAUUUAAUAUGCAAAUGUUAAAAAUACUUAUUUAUAAUAAUUUUGGAAUCAAAUGUAUUGGUUUUUUUUUUAGGGGUUUUUAUUUAACAGAAAAUAAAUCAAAUUUCAGCUGCAGUUCCUCAUUUG
ensembl:lncRNA